rnacentral:rRNA from 1 species
UACGAACUGUGCAAACGUUUAUUCGGAUUCACUGGGCUUAAAGGGUGCGUAGGCGGCCUGUUAAGUCAGGGGUGAAAGACGGUAGCUCAACUAUCGCAGUGCCCUUGAUACUGAUGGGCUUGAAUGUACUAGAGGUAGGCGGAAUGUGACAAGUAGCGGUGAAAUGCAUAGAUAUGUCACAGAACACCAAUUGCGAAGGCAGCUUACUAUGGUAUGAUUGACGCUGAGGCACGAAAAGCGUGGGGGAUCAAAACAGG